UACAGAGGGUGCGAGCGUUAAUCGGAAUUACUGGGCGUAAAGGGUGCGUAGGUGGUUUGGUAAGUUAUCUGUGAAAUCCCCGGGCUCAACCUGGGCAGGUCAGAUAAUACUGCUGAACUCGAGUAUGGGAGAGGGUAGUGGAAUUUCCGGUGUAGCGGUGAAAUGCGUAGAUAUCUGGAGGAACACCGGUGGCGAAGGCGGCAUCCUGGACCAAUUCUGACGCUGAUGAGCGAAAGCCAGGGGAGCAAACGGG
rnacentral:rRNA from 1 species